rnacentral:rRNA from 1 species
GACGAACGCUGGCGGCGUGCCUAAUACAUGCAAGUUGAACGCUUCUUUCUUAUCGAACUUCGGUUCACCAAGAAAGAGGAGUAGCGAACGGGUGAGUAACACGUGGGUAACCUGCCCAUCAGCGGGGGAUAACACUUGGAAACAGGUGCUAAUACCGCAUAAUGCUUUUUCUCACAUGAGAGAAAGCUGAAAGGCGCUUUUGCGUCACUGAUGGAUGGACCCGCGGUGCAUUAGCUAGUUGGUAGGGUAACGGCCUACCAAGGCAACGAUGCAUAGCCGACCUGAGAGGGUGAUCGGCCACACUGGGACUGAGACACGGCCCAGACUCCUACGGGAGGCAGCAGUAGGGAAUCUUCGGCAAUGGACGAAAGUCUGACCGAGCAACGCCGCGUGAGUGAAGAAGGUUUUCGGAUCGUAAAAACUCUGUUGUUAGAGAA